UACAGAGGGGGCAAGCGUUGUCCGGAUUUAUUGGGCGUAAAGAGCGCGUAGGCGGCCGAGUAAGUCCGACGUGAAAUCUGGAGGCUCAACCUCCAGCGGUCGUUGGAAACUACUCGGCUAGAGUCCGGAAGAGGAGAGUGGAAUUCCUGGUGUAGCGGUGAAAUGCGCAGAUAUCAGGAAGAACACCGAUGGCGAAAGCAGCUCUCUGGGACGGUACUGACGCUGAGGCGCGAAAGCGUGGGGAGCGAACAGG
rnacentral:rRNA from 1 species